rnacentral:rRNA from 1 species
UACGUAGGGGGCAAGCGUUGUCCGGAAUCAUUGGGCGUAAAGCGCGUGUAGGCGGCCCGGUAAGUCCGCUGUAAAAGUCUAGGGCUCAACCCUGGAAGGCCGGUGGAUACUGUCGGGCUCGAGUCCGGAAGAGGCGAGUGGAAUUCCUGGUGUAGCGGUGAAAUGCGCAGAUAUCAGGAGGAACACCAGUGGCGAAGGCAGCUCGCUGGGACGGUACUGACGCUGAGACGCGAAAGCGUGGGGAGCAAACAGG